rnacentral:rRNA from 2 species
AACUUUUAACAACGGAUCUCUUGGUUCUGGCAUCGAUGAAGAACGCAGCGAAAUGCGAUAAGUAAUGUGAAUUGCAGAAUUCAGUGAAUCAUCGAAUCUUUGAACGCACAUUGCGCCCCCUGGUAUUCCGGGGGGCAUGCCUGUUCGAGCGUC